GCGCCUUCGCCACGCCCGCUCAGAAACUUAAAGAAGUUGACGGGGGCCCGCACAAGCGGUGGAGCAUGUGGUUAAUUCGAUGGUACACGAGGAACCUUACCUAGAUUGACAUGUAACUGCAAAGCCUUUAGAAACAAAGGAAUCCUUCGAGGGUGUUACACAGCUGCUGCAUGGUUGUCGUCAGUUCGUGUCGUGAGGCGUCGGCUUUAAGUGCCGUAACGAACGCAACCCCUGUGCUAUGUUAAAUAUCCAUAGCAGACUGCCUUGGAUUUUUCCACGGAGGAAGGAGGGGAUGACGUCAAGUCCUCAUGGCCUUUAUGACCAGGGCUACACACGUACUACAAUGGUGGGUACAAAGGGCAGCAAAACCGCGAGGUCGAGCGAAUCUCAAAAAAACCCAUCAUAGUCCGGAUUGCAGUCUGCAACUCGACUGCAUGAAGUUGGAAUCGCUAGUAAUCCCCGGAUCAGCAUGCCGGGGUGAAUACGUUCCCGGGCCUU
rnacentral:rRNA from 1 species